GGAGUUGUGGCUCAGUGGUAGAGCACUCACCUAGCACAUGUGAGGCACAGGGUUCGAUACUUAGCACCA
rnacentral:tRNA from 1 species